GGAGUCUGGGCCGUGUCUCAGUCCCAAUGUGGCUGAUCAUCCUCUCAGACCAGCUAGAGAUCGUCGCCUAGGUGAGCCUUUACCUCACCUACUAGCUAAUCCCGUUUGGGCACAUCUGAUAGCGCAUUGCUGCUUUCACCCUCAGGCUUUAUGCGGUAUUAGCAGUCGUUUCCAACUGUUAUCCCCCUCUACGAGGCAGGUUACCCACGCGUUACUCACCCGUCCGCCACUAAGUUACAGCUGACUUUGACGAAUCUCCAUCAAAAGUAACUCCGUUCGACUUGCAUGUGUUAGGCACGCCGCCAGCGUUCAUC
rnacentral:rRNA from 1 species